AACGAACGCUGGCGGCGUGCCUAACACAUGCAAGUCGAACGUGAUUGGAAGCUUGCUUCCAUGAAAGUGGCGCACGGGUGAGUAACGCGUAGAUAAUCUGCCUGAUGAUUUGGGAUAACACUUCGAAAGGGGUGCUAAUACCGGAUAAGCCCACGGUGUCUUUGGACACUGCGGGAAAAGGAGGGGACUUUCGGGCCUUCCGUCAUCAGAUGAGUCUGCGUACCAUUAGCUAGUUGGUAGGGUAAAGGCCUACCAAGGCGACGAUGGUUAGCUGGUCUGAGAGGAUGAUCAGCCACACUGGAACUGAGACACGGUCCAGACUCCUACGGGAGGCAGCAGCGGGGAAUUUUGCGCAAUGGGGGAAACCCUGACGCAGCAACGCCGCGUGAGUGAUGAAGGCCCUUGGGUCGUAAAGCUCUGACAGAGGGAAAGAAAUGUGGGUGGCUAAAAUCCAUACCACUUGACGGUACCCUCAAAGGAAGCACCGGCUAACUCCGUGCCAGCAGCCGCGGUAAUAC
rnacentral:rRNA from 1 species